GGAGACCUUUCGUAAAAAUAACUGAGUGACUCGAGGCCUUGGAUCCACUGACUAGGGCUGAGUUUACCGAGCUUUUUUGAGCCAUUUAGGGUCUAACCACUGCAGUAGUUUAAAACCAAGCAAACCACUGUCAACACCUCCUUCCCCUGACUAUUGCCAUGCUAAAAGAUCCAUUUUCCAUAAUAUAGCCAAGUUUAAAAGACUCAACCCAUCCCACUUUGAAGGAGGCCUCGACCCCUUAGUUGUAGAAGU
rnacentral:lncRNA from 1 species